rnacentral:rRNA from 1 species
CACUAAGUCACUUUGUCUUUAUGGCAAAUGUGAGAUGCAGUGUAUGGAAUGUCAAAUUUCUAGUAUGAGAAAUUAACGAUUUAAGUCCUUCUUAAAUGAGGCCAUUUACCCAUAGAGGGUGCCAGGCCCGUAUAACGUUAAUGAUUACUAGAUGGCAUUUCCAAAGAGUCGUGUUGCUUGAUAGUGCAGCACUAAGUGGGUGGUAAACUCCAUCUAAAACUAAAUAUAACCAUGAGACCGAUAGUAAACAAGUACCGUGAGGGAAAGUUGAAAAGAACUCUGAAUAGAGAGUUAAAUAGUACGUGAAACUGCUUAGAGGUUAAGCCCGAUGAACCUGAAUAUCCAUUAUAGAAAAUUCAUCAUUAUGAUUUUAAUAUUAAUAAUAUUAUAAUAAUGGUGUGCAUUUUUUCUAUAACGGACAUUGUAAUCUAUUAACAUAAAUAUAUUUAUCAUAAGAUCAAUGAUGCGUAAGUUUAUUCAAAUUAUUUUGCUUGCAAUUUAACAUAGAAUAAAUGCUCUUGAUUUGAUAAAGUGUUGAUAGAUUUAUUGUAUAUAGUGCUUAAAUAUUUAUAUUUUAUAAUAGCAUAUUAAUCAUUGAUUUUUAUGUUUAUUAUAUGCACUUAUAUGAUUAACAAUGCGAAAGAUUCAGGAUACCUUCGGGACCCGUCUUGAAACACGGACCAAGGAGUCUAACAUAUUUGCAAGUUAUUGGGUAUCAAAACCUAAUAGCGAAAUUAACAUAACUUUAAUGGGAUUAGUUUUUAGAUUAUUUAUAGUCUAUUAAUUCAAUCCCGGGGCGUUCUAUCAGUUAUGUAUAAUAAUAUUUAUAUUAUUUAUACCUCUAACUAGAGCGUACCUUGAGCAUAUAUGCUGUGACCCGAAAGAUGGUGAACUAUACUUGAUCAGGUUGAAGUCAGGGGAAACCCUGAUGGAAGACCGAAACAGUUCUGACGUGCAAAUCGAUUGUCAG